UACGUAGGGGGCAAGCGUUGUUCGGAAUUACUGGGCGUAAAGGGCGCGUAGGCGGUACGACAAGUCUGGAGUGAAAGCCCGGGGCUCAACCCCGGAAUGUCUUUGGAAACUGUCGAACUUGAGUGCGGAAGAGGCAUCUGGAAUUCCCAGUGUAGCGGUGAAAUGCGUAGAUAUUGGGAGGAACACCAGUGGCGAAGGCGGCUCACUGGACCGGUACUGACGCUGAGGCGCGAAAGCGUGGGGAGCAAACGGG
rnacentral:rRNA from 1 species